rnacentral:tRNA from 1 species
AGGCGUGUAGCUCAACUGGCAGAGCGACGGUCUCCAAAACCGUAGGUUGCGGGUUCAAGUCCUGCCACGCCUG